rnacentral:rRNA from 1 species
GUGCCAGCAGCCGCGGUAAUACGGGGGAUGCAAGCGUUAUCCGGAUUUAUUGGGUUUAAAGGGUGCGUAGGCGGCCUGUUAAGUCAGUGGUGAAAUAUCUUCGCUCAACGAAGAGACUGCCAUUGAUACUGGUGGGCUUGAAUGCGGAUGCCGUUGGAGGAAUGUGUGGUGUAGCGGUGAAAUGCAUAGAUAUCACACAGAACACCGAUUGCGAAGGCAUCUGACGAAUCCGCAAUUGACGCUGAUGCACGAAAGCGUGGGUAUCAAACAGGAUUAGAUACCCUGGUAGUCCACGCUGUAAACGAUGAUAACUAACCGUUGGCGAUAUACAGUCAGUGGCCAAGCGAAAGCGAUAAGUUAUCCACCUGGGGAGUACGACCGCAAGGUUGAAACUCAAAGGAAUUGACGGGGGCCCGCACAAGCGGAGGAACAUGUGGUUUAAUUCGAUGAUACGCGAGGAACCUUACCCGGGCUCGAACGGCAGGGGAAUUAUUCAGAGAUGGAUAAGUCUUCGGACUCCUGUCGAGGUGCUGCAUGGUUGUCGUCAGCUCGUGCUGUGAAGUGUCGGCUUAAGUGCCAUAACGAGCGCAACCCUUGUCGUCAGUUGCCAUCAGGUAAAGCUGGGGACUCUGGCGAGACUGCCACCGCAAGGUGUGAGGAAGGGGGGGAUGACGUCAAAUCAGCACGGCCCUUACGUCCGGGGCGACACACGUGUUACAAUGGUGGGUACAGAGGGAAGCUACCUGGUGACAGGAUGCAGAUCUCGAAAACCCAUCCCAGUUCGGACUGGAGUCUGCAACUCGACUCCACGAAGUUGGAUUCGCUAGUAAUCGCGCAUCAGCCAUGGCGCGGUGAAUACGUUCCCGGGCCUUGUACACACCGCCCGU